rnacentral:rRNA from 1 species
GACGAACGCUGGCGGCGUGCUUAACACAUGCAAGUCGAACGGGAUUUAGUAAACGGAAGCCUCGGUGGAAGAUUACUAAUGAGAGUGGCGAACGGGUGAGUAACGCGUGAGCAACCUGCCUAUGACAGUGGGAUAGCCUCGGGAAACCGGGAUUAAUACCGCAUAAAAUCGUAGAAACACAUGUUUCAACGGUCAAAGAUUUAUCGGUCAUAGAUGGGCUCGCGUCUGAUUAGCUAGUUGGUGAGAUAACAGCCCACCAAGGCGACGAUCAGUAGCCGGUCUGAGAGGAUGAACGGCCACAUUGGAACUGAGACACGGUCCAAACUCCUACGGGAGGCAGCAGUGGGGAAUAUUGCACAAUGGGGGAAACCCUGAUGCAGCGACGCCGCGUGAACGAAGAAGGUAUUCGUAUCGUAAAGUUCUGUCCUAUGGGAAGAUAAUGACAGUACCAUAGAAGAAAGCACCGGCUAAAUACGUG